AGCGAACGCUGGCGGCAGGCUUAACACAUGCAAGUCGAGCGGGCAUCCUUGUGGUGUCAGCGGCAGACGGGUGAGUAACGCGUGGGAACGUGCCCUUCGGUUCGGAAUAACUCAGGGAAACUUGAGCUAAUACCGGAUACGUGCGAGAGCAGAAAGGUUUAUCUGCCGAAGGAUCGGCCCGCGUCUUAUUAGCUAGUUGGUGAGGUUAUGGCUCACCAAGGCGACGAUCAGUAGCUGGUCUGAGAGGAUGAUCAGCCACACUGGGACUGAGACACGGCCCAGACUCCUACGGGAGGCAGCAGUGGGGAAUAUUGGACAAUGGGGGCAACCCUGAUCCAGCCAUGCCGCGUGAGUGAUGACGGCCUUAGGGUUGUAAAGCUCUUUUCUUCGGGACGAUAAUGACGGUACCGGAGGAAUAAGCCCCGGCUAACUUCGUG
rnacentral:rRNA from 1 species